GGUUAAGCGACUAAGCGUACACGGUGGAUGCCUAGGCAGUCAGAGGCGAUGAAGGGCGUGCUAAUCUGCGAAAAGCGUCGGUAAGGUGAUAUGAACCGUUACAACCGACGAUACCCGAAUGGGGAAACCCAGUGCAAUUCGUUGCACUAUUGCAUGGUGAAUACAUAGCCAUGCAAGGCGAACCGGGGGAACUGAAACAUCUAAGUACCCCGAGGAAAAGAAAUCAACCGAGAUUCCCCCAGUAGCGGCGAGCGAACGGGGAGGAGCCCAGAACCUGAAUCAGCAUAUGUGUUAGUGGAAGCGUCUGGAAAGUCGCACGGUACAGGGUGAUAGUCCCGUACACAAAAAUGCAUAUGUUGUGAGUUCGAUGAGUAGGGCGGGACACGUGACAUCCUGUCUGAAUAUGGGGGGACCAUCCUCCAAGGCUAAAUACUCCUGACUGACCGAUAGUGAACCAGUACCGUGAGGGAAAGGCGAAAAGAACCCCGGCGAGGGGAGUGAAAUAGAACCUGAAACCGUGUACGUACAAGCAGUGGGAGCACCUUCGUGGUGUGACUGCGUACCUUUUGUAUAAUGGGUCAGCGACUUAUAUUUUGUAGCAAGGUUAACCGAAUAGGGGAGCCGUAGGGAAACCGAGUCUUAACUGGGCGAAUAGUUGCAAGGUAUAGACCCGAAACCCGGUGAUCUAGCCAUGGGCAGGUUGAAGGUUGGGUAACACUAACUGGAGGACCGAACCGACUAAUGUUGAAAAAUUAGCGGAUGACUUGUGGCUGGGGGUGAAAGGCCAAUCAAACCGGGAGAUAGCUGGUUCUCCCCGAAAGCUAUUUAGGUAGCGCCUCGUGAACUCAUCUUCGGGGGUAGAGCACUGUUUCGGCUAGGGGGUCAUCCCGACUUACCAAACCGAUGCAAACUCCGAAUACCGAAGAAUGUUAUCACGGGAGACACACGGCGGGUGCUAACGUCCGUCGUGAAGAGGGAAACAACCCAGACCGCCAGCUAAGGUCCCAAAGUCAUGGUUAAGUGGGAAACGAUGUGGGAAGGCAUAGACAGCCAGGAUGUUGGCUUAGAAGCAGCCAUCAUUUAAAGAAAGCGUAAUAGCUCACUGGUCGAGUCGGCCUGCGCGGAAGAUGUAACGGGGCUAAACCAUGCACCGAAGCUGCGGCAGCGACGCUUAGGCGUUGUUGGGUAGGGGAGCGUUCUGUAAGCCGUUGAAGGUGACCUGUGAGGGUUGCUGGAGGUAUCAGAAGUGCGAAUGCUGACAUAAGUAACGAUAAUGCGGGUGAAAAACCCGCACGCCGGAAGACCAAGGGUUCCUGUCCAACGUUAAUCGGGGCAGGGUGAGUCGACCCCUAAGGCGAGGCUGAAAAGCGUAGUCGAUGGGAAACAGGUUAAUAUUCCUGUACUUGGUGUUACUGCGAAGGGGGGACGGAGAAGGCUAGGCUAGCCGGGCGACGGUUGUCCCGGUUUAAGCAUGUAGGCGGAGUGACUUGGUAAAUCCGGUUGCUUAUCAACGCUGAGGUGUGAUGACGAGCCACUACGGUGGUGAAGUAGUUGAUGCCAAGCUUCCAGGAAAAGCCUCUAAGCAUCAGGUAACAUUAAAUCGUACCCCAAACCGACACAGGUGGUCAGGUAGAGAAUACUCAGGCGCUUGAGAGAACUCGGGUGAAGGAACUAGGCAAAAUGGUGCCGUAACUUCGGGAGAAGGCACGCUGGCAUUAGGUAAAGAGACUUGCUCUCGGCGCCGAAGCCAGUCGCAGAUACCAGCUGGCUGCAACUGUUUAAUAAAAACACAGCACUGUGCAAACACGAAAGUGGACGUAUACGGUGUGACGCCUGCCCGGUGCUGGAAGGUUAAUUGAUGGGGUCAGCCGCAAGGCGAAGCUCUUGAUCGAAGCCCCAGUAAACGGCGGCCGUAACUAUAACGGUCCUAAGGUAGCGAAAUUCCUUGUCGGGUAAGUUCCGACCUGCACGAAUGGCGUAAUGAUGGCCAGGCUGUCUCCACCCGAGACUCAGUGAAAUUGAACUCGCUGUGAAGAUGCAGUGUACCCGCGGCAAGACGGAAAGACCCCGUGAACCUUUACUAUAGCUUGACACUGAACAUUGAGCCUUGAUGUGUAGGAUAGGUGGGAGGCAUUGAAGUGUGGACGCCAGUCUGCAUGGAGCCAACCUUGAAAUACCACCCUUUAAUGUUUGAUGUUCUAACUCGGCCCCAUAAUCUGGGGUGAGGACAGUGUCUGGUGGGUAGUUUGACUGGGGCGGUCUCCUCCCAAAGAGUAACGGAGGAGCACGAAGGUUAGCUAAUCACGGUCGGACAUCGUGAGGUUAGUGCAAAGGCAUAAGCUAGCUUGACUGCGAGAGUGACGGCUCGAGCAGGUACGAAAGUAGGUCUUAGUGAUCCGGUGGUUCUGAAUGGAAGGGCCAUCGCUCAACGGAUAAAAGGUACUCCGGGGAUAACAGGCUGAUACCGCCCAAGAGUUCAUAUCGACGGCGGUGUUUGGCACCUCGAUGUCGGCUCAUCACAUCCUGGGGCUGAAGUAGGUCCCAAGGGUAUGGCUGUUCGCCAUUUAAAGUGGUACGCGAGCUGGGUUUAGAACGUCGUGAGACAGUUCGGUCCCUAUCUGCCGUGGGCGUUGGAAGAUUGAGAGGGGCUGCUCCUAGUACGAGAGGACCGGAGUGGACGAAUCACUGGUGUUCGGGUUGUCAUGCCAAUGGCAUUGCCCGGUAGCUAAAUUCGGAAGAGAUAACCGCUGAAAGCAUCUAAGCGGGAAACUUGCCUCGAGAUGAGUCUUCCCUGGGGCUUUAAGCCCCCUGAAGGAACGUUAAAGACUAUGACGUUGAUAGGCUGGGUGUGUAAGUGCAGCGAUGCAUUGAGCUAACCAGUACUAAUGAUCCGUGAGGCUUAACCUU
rnacentral:rRNA from 1 species